CACAUUGUCGUUGUAAUACUGGUUCACGUACGAUCACUAAAGUUAAGUUACGUUGAGCCUGGUCAGUAUUUAGACGGGUGACCGCUUGAAAAUACCAGGUGCUGUGA